rnacentral:rRNA from 1 species
AGUGAACGCUGGCGGUAGGCCUAACACAUGCAAGUCGAACGGCAGCACCGUAAGAGCUUGCUCUUACGGGUGGCGAGUGGCGGACGGGUGAGGAAUACAUCGGAAUCUACUUUUUCGUGGGGGAUAACGUAGGGAAACUUACGCUAAUACCGCAUACGACCUACGGGUGACAGCAGGGGAUCUUCGGACCUUGCGCGAUUGAAUGAGCCGAUGUCGGAUUAGCUAGUUGGCGGGGUAAAGGCCCACCAAGGAGACGAUCCGUAGCUGGUCUGAGAGGAUGAUCAGCCACACUGGAACUGAGACACGGUCCAGACUCCUACGGGAGGAAGCAGUGGGGAAUAUUGGACAAUGGGCGCAAGCCUGAUCCAGCCAUACCGCGUGGGUGAAGAAGGCCUUCGGGUUGUAAAGCCCUUUUGUUGGGAAAGAAAAGCAGCAGGUUAAUACCCCGCUGUUCUGACGGUACCCAAAGAAUAAGCACCGGCUAACUUCGUG